rnacentral:rRNA from 1 species
GAGUUUGAUCAUGGCUCAGAUUGAACGCUGGCGGCAUGCCUUACACAUGCAAGUCGAGCGGCAGCGCGGGGGCAACCCUGGCGGCGAGCGGCGAACGGGUGAGUAAUACAUCGGAACGUGUCCUGUCGUGGGGGAUAACCAGUCGAAAGAUUGGCUAAUACCGCAUGACCUCGUAAGAGAAAAGCGGGGGACCGUAAGGCCUCGCGCGACUGGAGCGGCCGAUGUCGGAUUAGCUAGUUGGCGGGGUAAAAGCCCACCAAGGCGACGAUCCGUAGCUGGUUUGAGAGAACGACCAGCCACACUGGGACUGAGACACGGCCCAGACUCCUACGGGAGGCAGCAGUGGGGAAUUUUGGACAAUGGGGGCAACCCUGAUCCAGCCAUGCCGCGUGUGUGAAGAAGGCCUUC